rnacentral:rRNA from 1 species
UUAGCUGUAAACGAUGUGAACUUAGUGUCGGUGGGGUUAAAUCCAUCGGUACUGAAGCUAACGCGAUAAGUUCACCGCCUGGGGACUACGGCCGCAAGGUUAAAACUCAAAGGAAUUGAC